UAUAUUAUCAGAGUAGCGACAACUGGGGAUUUGAAGCCAUUUUUGUUUCCAUUCACUCAAUAUGGGACGCGCAGCGCGAGGUGCACAUUCAUGAAAGCUAGCUAUUUGUGGAUUGUUUACUGAUUCCAAGACAUGUUUUGGACAAAAUAUUUUACUGGCUUGUUGUGUCUGGAUGUCCAAGGUUGGAUUAUGGCCUUUUUGUGGAAUAUUUUCAUCUGUGACUUGUUAUGAGGAUUCAAAGGAGCACAACAGAGAAGCUCAAAUCUACCCAACGACAGAUGAGCAUGGAUGAGAUGAAGCUGAAACAAGAGUGUGUUACCAGCUGGAACUCCACCUUCCAAAUGCUACAACAGAUUGUGGACUCCAAGGAUGCCGUCAUCUCCAUCCUGACUGUUAUCAAAGCACCUGUUGAUCCUCUGAGUCCAGAGGAAUGGGAGGUUCUGCAGGAGGCCAUGAGAGCAGGUCACUGUGGAGAUCAGUGCAGACAGCCUCUAAAAUGUUAAUCCUGUGUUCUGCAGAGACUUCCAGCUGACCAGCAGACCAGAGGAAACACAUUGAAAGUGAAGGAGUUAGUGGCUGCUCUUUGAUCAUCCAUGGAAAGAAAAUUCCACAGAUUGGAAUAUAACACUGUUCUGUCAGAAACCUCCCUUCUUGGCCCAAGAUUCAAAAAGCUGUCCUUCAGUGACAGCAGAGCGGUUGAUGAAGCUCUUCAGAGAAUAACUGCAGCAGCAGAAAGAUCCAACCAGUCAACUCCACUACAGCAGAACACGGACAAGAGGAACCACAAGCAUCUGCUGUUUGGAGGUUCUUUGAAGAACAAGCAACUUGUGACACUACAAGAAGGAAUCCAUCAGCAGAUGGAAUGCUGGAAGAAUGAUCAUAAAGAAGUGUUGGUUGGAGUCCAAGAGUUCAGUCUACCUAGUGUUAAGGGACCAACAAAGAAAUUAUUUUAUUAAUUGUGUAAAGGUGUAAACAUUAUUUGUUUAGCGAGAGACAGUACUUCUAUAUCCUAAGAAAGUACCAGAAAUGCACAGAAAGUAGCUUUAAAUACAUUUCUGAAGGGAAACAACAGUGCGCUGUAUACUGUACAAUAGAAUGGAAAAUUAUAAAACUCAGCUAUAAAAUACUAGUCUUCUCAUGUCUUUUGAAUCAUUGCUUCGACCCACAAGAUACAUAACCUGCAACGACAAUAACAAGAAUAAAAUGAAAUAAUAGAUAUAAAACAAAGAUAUGAAGAACAUAUUAAACUCUAACAUAUGUAGGACAGUAUGCAAGCAAGUGGGUGUAACCUGCCUAAAGAAGGAUUAAAUAAUAAUUUGUAUUCAUUUCUGACCAUUGUUUCUUUACACCUUACAUUUAUAAGUACUGUGAGUUUUAUUUUGAAAAUAGGAACUUUAUUUUGGGUGAUACCGGAGGUAGUAUGCAAAAAUAUUCGCCGCAGCUUAACAUCGCUAAAUCAUGGACUGAUCACUGCUUCUGUUUCUCCUGUGAGGGUUAAAAACGAGAGUAAAAGGUGUGAAAACCUGCUUGUCUUGCACAAAAACAAAGAAAUUAUUUAGUAAAUGAUAUAAACUGAUUGAAAUUCCACUCUAGAAGUUAGAGAACCAUUGAAGAAACACUUAAUUGUCCAAAACCACCUUCUUGGUAAGCUAGUUCCUGCAUGUUCCUAAUGAGUGUGUCUGUGGAAAUACCACGAGGUGACCAUGCUAGCUGCAAUUAAGGGUGUGUUGCACAUUUUAUGUUGUUUUUGAAGAAUGUAAUGAACUAAAAAGCAUUUAGUUGAUGGUUUGAGUUCAUAUUGAUCCGUCCUUUAUCGCUAUAAUAAGCACAUUGUGAGACUUUUACACGGUGAAGUGCCGAGUCACCUUCCUAUGUGACUGAAGGUUAAAGAUAUACUCAGUAGAAAGUAAUAGUGAUCAUACAGUUGCUCUUCAUUGUAAUUACAGUUGGUUAAAAUGGUAUAUUCUGACACUAUGAAACAUUUAUUGUCAAAAUAACGCUGGUUAUCUACGUGUAAACUAUAGUAUUUUGUUUUCCUAAUAAAAAAGAUAGAUUUUAAUGUUGUACAACACUUUGAAUGAAUCUCAUUGGAUAAUAUUCCAUCAGAACCUGGACUAUAGAGCUGUUCUGUAAAUACAGGUCAGGUCUUAUUUGAUGGGAGGAAAAAGUGAAGCUCCAGUCCUGGUGUCCAACGAGGCUGAGCAGAGAUCCAGUUGAUGGAGAGCCUCCCAGUCCAACUUUGAGCCUCCACCACACCAUUCAGAGGAUUCUGUGGUAGGAUUGUGUCAGUCCUACUGACCGACACCAACCAGAGUCUACUUUGGAUACUUUUCUCUGACUUUGACUUCCCCCUGACUUAUUGACCUGAACUUUGAUUGGAUCCACAACAAACCAGUUCCAGAGAAACAUCUUCAAAUGAACAUUUUAUUUUUUUCUUAGUUCAUUGGGCCCAUCGGUGUUGCAUUGUAAUUAUGUUAUAAACUGUUCAAAUAGUUUGUCAGAACUAAGAAGUUCACAGUAACAACUUCUAUCUGUGUCCUGUGGUUAUUGCUAUUACUCCUAGCUCCUACCAACCUAGGUAGCAACGUGUACAGACCCAGAAGUGGGUUACAUGUGCAUGGACUUUACAGAUGUAUUUCUCACAUGUGCAGCACAUGAUAUUUGUUUUAACCCUGAAAACUGCACUGAUGGCUUCAGCAAAGAGAGAACUGGUGGUGCUGUCAUCUGCAGCACCUUUAUAGCCUCUGAACUCAUUCCUCGUUAGUAAACGAUGCUUUCUCAUGCUUUCUGCGGGGCAUUAAAAAUCAUUAAAUUGAAUUCUCAGUGGCAUUAAAAAUGAU